rnacentral:rRNA from 1 species
CCCGUUGCACUCACCGCCCGUCACAUCACCCGAGUCUGGUGCUCCCGAAGUCGCUGGCCGAACCCGUAAGGACGGAGGCGCCGAAGGAGUGCCCGGUGAGGGGGUG